GGGCUGUUGGCGCAGUUGGCAGCGCGUCUCUAUGGCAUAGAGAAGGUCGCGAGUUCAAAUCUCGCACAGUCCACCA
rnacentral:tRNA from 1 species